GGGGGCGUAGCUCAGCGGGAGAGCACCUGCUUUGCAAGCAGGGGGUCACCGGUUCAAUCCCGGUCGCCUCCACCA
rnacentral:tRNA from 1 species